rnacentral:rRNA from 1 species
AUGAACGCUGGCGGCGUGGAUAAGGCAUGCAAGUCGAACGGACAUAUUUUGAGAUUACAUCAAGAGAUAUGUUAGUGGCGAACGAGUUAGUAACACCUUGGUACAUACCCUUUAGUCGGGCACAACGGGUCGAAAGAUCCGCUAAUUCUCGAUGGUACAGCAAUGUUAAAGUCGCAAGACGCUAAAGGAGUGGCCUAGGUCCUAUCAGCUUGUUGGUGAGGUAAUGGCUCACCAAGGCUAUGACGGGUAGGGGGUGUGAGAGCACGACCCUCAACGACGUUACUGAGAUCGGAACGUACACCUACGGGUGGCAGCAGUCGAGGAUAUUCGACAAUGGGCGAAAGCCUGAUCGAGCGACGCCGCGUGCAGGAAGAAGUCUUUCGGGAUGUAAACUGCUUUUGCUUGGGAAGAAUUUUGACGGUACCAAGCGAAUAAGGGGUUGCUAACUCUGU